rnacentral:rRNA from 1 species
CCCUACGGGGUGCCGCAGGCUUCGAUCGACAAUGACCUGCGGACAGUCGGGGCGGUCCUGGAGUUCCUGCAAUACGUGACGGCGCACGGCUAUCGCCCGGGCGAUCCGGGACUGGACGCCCUGGCGUACACGAAGAGCCGGCGCAAGAUCUCUUCCCAGGAAUUGCCGCAGGUGGCCAAGAAUCCCGCGGCCGCAAGGGAAACCGCCGGUCCGCCGGCCCCCGAACCGGCGUCGGCCGCCCCCAUCACCCGCGGGGAGGCGGUGGACAUCGAGCGGCACCUGGUAAAGGGGAAGACGGUGGUGUUCGAUUUCUACAGUGACUUUUGCGGGCCCUGCCGGCAGGUCGGGCCGCGGCUGGAGAAACUGGACGCCCGGCGGGGGGGC